UUUUUAAAUUCACUUGGCAACACGUUUGACUGAUGAUCACCAUGCGCGCGCUUCUGGACCAUUUGAUUCUCCAUGUCAAUUAAUGAAGUUGAUCAUGCGCUCCUGAUUAUUUCUAUUUUCCUAAUUUCUGUUUUAUUUUCUAAUUUUUUUUUUUUUUUUCAAAAAUUCAUAACUCUUUUAUUUGGAAUCACAAAAAUAU
rnacentral:lncRNA from 1 species